CUUUACACCCAUGGAUGGGUAGCCGAAACCCGCUUGGCUCAUCUGCACACUCAGAUUGCUUGGUCUCUAUUUCUGUUCUCAAGUUUCUCCAUGGUUUUGGCCCUUCUGCCUCCUCUAGCAUAUUGAGAGACCCUUGUGAUUACUGUGCCCUCUGGAUAUCCCAGGCUACCCUUGAGUUCAAGUCCCCUAAUCACAUUUGCCAUGUUAGACACCACGCACAGGUUCCUGGACUUAGUAAGUGCACACACAUCUUUUCCAUUUUGCUUCCCAUACAGUGACUGGGAUCAUAAGGAAGCUGUGGCAUGCUCUGUCAUUAUCUUUCCUUAGCAGAUAAGAGACCCAGGGACGGAGAGGUUAUGUAACCUGUCCGGGUCACCUGGAGAAUAAGUUGCAGAUCCCAGAACCAAGGUUCUCUCUGGUUGCAAAGCCUCCUGGGAUGGGAGCAGCCUGGAAUCCCAGCCACUCCCUGAACUGGUAGACAGAUUCCAAGCUGGUUUCUAGGGAGUUGGGGAGUUUCCUAGGGAGAUGGGCAGAGUACAUUCCUGCCCUGGGUCCCAAAUGCAGAGACCUGGGCGCAAGGUCCAUCCUUGCCUCUAAGGCUGAGAGAUAAAGGACACAGCAAAUUCCUUCCACUCUCAACAGGCCCUUAUCUAGAAGGAAGUUCAUGGUAGAACCUCAAAUAGAUGGUCUCAAAAGUUCCUCUUAGCUUGAAAACUCACUUUCCAUAAUGGGAUUUUAGAGAUGAUCUGUGGUUUUUGUUUGUUUGUUUGUUUUGUUUUGUUUUGUUUUGUUUUUAGAUAUUCUCAUAUAGCCCAGGCUGACUUCAAACUUGCUAUAUGGGCAAGGCUGUGGUUUUGAACUCUCAACCCUCUGACCUUCCAAGUGCAAAAACUGGCCACCGUACUCAGCCCACUCUACACAGCUACCCAGCUCUCC
rnacentral:lncRNA from 1 species